AACUCUUAGCGGUGGAUCACUCGGCUCGUGCGUCGAUGAAGAACGCAGCUAGCUGCGAGAACUAAUGUGAAUUGCAGGACACAUUGAUCAUUGACACUUUGAACGCACCUUGCGAACAUCUGUCUGAGGGUCC
ensembl:rRNA 5_8S_rRNA 5.8S ribosomal RNA